UAGAUUCUUAGAAAACAAGCAGAAGGAGCAGCCGUAGAUUCUCCCCCGUCCAUAAAUACAGCCUCGCGCCCACAGAGCUUCCACAGAAUUCUCGAUCAUUCUCCUCCUCAAAGCCUCAAAGCCUCAAACCCCAUUUUCUUCUUCACCUCCAUCCCUUCUGCAACUCCCAUUCAUCUUCUCCGUUCUUCCCCUCAUGUCUCGCAGAGCCCUAGAUUCCCGCGAAUCGAUUCACUCCUGUACUCUCAAGCUCCAUGGUUGGAGGCCCUUCCAGCUGCCCAAAGCCCUAGAUUCCGAUGCCCAUACUUCCGCUCCCACAAGCGCUAAACCCUACUACUCAUCCAGUGGCCUGCACACCAAGCGCCCUUGUCUCUCCGAUCGAACUACCUCUUUCAAUAUCGACGCUAUUGACAUGUCGGGCCUGAGUUUGAUUGACGACGACAAGCCUUCUAUUACGGCAGGAGGCAGUUACUCGCGUCCGAGCUUCCAAUUGAUCGCUAGGAAGCGGCGGCGGCGGCGUGGAUCGAGGUCGGUUUCCGGGCGGAGUACUGAUCGAAGCGGAACGAGACGAUGCUGCUCUGUUGGGGCUUCGGCUGCUCAUGGAACCUGCUCGGACUUCCCUAUGGCAGUUGGCACGGAUUCGAGCGGUGAGUUGUUUGUGAAUGGGGAUGCGAAUUGGUCGUCAGAUGUGAGCGAAGCGAAGAAUUCGAGGAGGAGGGAGAGAGAGGAGAAGGAUCAAUUGGGUUCUGGGUUUGGUUCUUCUAAUGGGGGUUUUGAUGCUCAGGGGAACGAGUCUGGCUAUGGUAGCGAGCCUGGUUAUCGUGGAGAUGGUGAAUUCGGGUAUGGUGAUGAGAUCGACGAGGAGGAUGAGGAUGCCAGAUUGCUGCUAUGGGGUGAACGACUAGGAGAUUCUAGAGUAGAAAUUGUAGGAGAGAACACAUUUACAGAUCAGAAAUCACACCAUAGAUGUCGUCGUAAGAAGCACGAAUGUGGAAUGGUCGAUUCCCUAAGGUGAAGCAAACAUCGAAAAGAGGCAAUGAUGAACACUGUGAAUACUCCUGAUGCUGUUGAUGGUUCCUACCUGCUGAUAGAUCUAUCGCUGCCAUGAACUCUAUAACACUACCUUUGAUACAUCUACAGGGAAGAAAACAGAAUCCCACUGUCAAAAUCUUGAAAUUUUCUCAAAUUAAGAAGUCAACUCUUUUGUAUGUCUUGACAGAGCUGUGAAACAAAAAAAAGGUUCGAAUUCUUCUUAAGUCAGCUUAGUAUACACAACUCUUUUGUAUGAUCCAAUUCGACCAUAAAUCUACUAGUUAUGGCAUGUGCCUCCGACCAAAGGUUGAUGAGAAUGUGACUUCUUUAGGUCUAAUGUUUUAGUUAGGCUCGAUUCAAAUAUUGAAAUGCUCAUCAUUUAACUAGGUGGCUUCUAGACCCGUGGUAGAGUUGCGACUCACUUAAGCUACAUGUUUCACUCAAUCAACCAUUUGGGUCGAGUGACUUCUAGUUUCAUCCCGUAUAAUUGCUCGAAUUGAUUUGGUUCGUGUUGUGUAUUUAAAUCCAUUUCGAUAUUGUGACUUCU